GUGAGACAGUAGAGAUCAUGCUGUCUAUAAAUUUAGCUAUAUCGGUGAAACUCUGCAGUAGAAAAUGCAGACAAUACCGAGGGAAGACUUGUAGCGCGCUGAUUUAUCAGCUCGAGCCCAUAAAUGGGCACUACAUAGAACCCGUAGAGACUAUACGCUAGACAUUCGUUUGCAAAAACGAUAAAGAUAUAGUCCGAACUCUUAUGGUGACAUAGAG
rnacentral:ncRNA from 1 species